GCCUCGGUAGCUCAGUAGGUAGAGCAGGGGACUGAAAAUCCCCGUGUCGGUGGUUCAACUCCACUCUGAGGCACCA
rnacentral:tRNA from 1 species